rnacentral:rRNA from 1 species
AGAGUUUGAUCCUGGCUCAGGACGAACGCUGGCGGCGUGCCUAAUACAUGCAAGUAGAACGCUGAAGAGAGGAGCUUGCUCUUCUUGGAUGAGUUGCGAACGGGUGAGUAACGCGUAGGUAACCUGCCUUGUAGCGGGGGAUAACUAUUGGAAACGAUAGCUAAUACCGCAUAACAAUGGAUGACACAUGUCAUUUAUUUGAAAGGGGCAAUUGCUCCACUACAAGAUGGACCUGCGUUGUAUUAGCUAGUAGGUGAGGUAAUGGCUCACCUAGGCGACGAUACAUAGCCGACCUGAGAGGGUGAUCGGCCACACUGGGACUGAGACACGGCCCAGACUCCUACGGGAGGCAGCAGUAGGGAAUCUUCGGCAAUGGGGGCAACCCUGACCGAGCAACGCCGCGUGAGUGAAGAAGGUUUUCGGAUCGUAAAGCUCUGUUGUAAGUCAAGAACGGGUGUGAGAGUGGAAAGUUCACACUGUGACGGUAGCUUACCAGAAAGGGACGGCUAACUACGUGCCAGCAGCCGCGGUAAUACGUAGGUCCCGAGCGUUGUCCGGAUUUAUUGGGCGUAAAGCGAGCGCAGGCGGUUUGAUAAGUCUGAAGUUAAAGGCUGUGGCUCAACCAUAGUUCGCUUUGGAAACUGUCAAACUUGAGUGCAGAAGGGGAGAGUGGAACUCCAUGUGUAGCGGUGAAAUGCGUAGAUAUAUGGAGGAACACCGGUGGCGAAAGCGGCUCUCUGGUCUGUAACUGACGCUGAGGCUCGAAAGCGUGGGGAGCGAACAGGAUUAGAUACCCUGGUAGUCCACGCCGUAAACGAUGAGUGCUAGGUGUUGGAUCCUUUCCGGGAUUCAGUGCCGCAGCU